rnacentral:rRNA from 1 species
ACGCACGCUGGCGGCGUGCUUAACACCUGCCAGUCGAACGGGAAGGCCCUGCUUUUGUGGGGUGCUCGAGUGGCGAACGGGUGAGUAACACGUGAGUAACCUGCCCUUGACUUUGGGAUAACUUCAGGAAACUGGGGCUAAUACCGGAUAGGAGCUCCUGCUGCAUGGUGGGGGUUGGAAAGUUUCGGCGGUUGGGGAUGGACUCGCGGCUUAUCAGCUUGUUGGUGGGGUAGUGGCUUACCAAGGCUUUGACGGGUAGCCGGCCUGAGAGGGUGACCGGCCACAUUGGGACUGAGAUACGGCCCAGACUCCUACGGGAGGCAGCAGUGGGGAAUAUUGCACAAUGGGCGGAAGCCUGAUGCAGCAACGCCGCGUGCGGGAUGACGGCCUUCGGGUUGUAAACCGCUUUCGCCUGUGACGAAGCGUGAGUGACGGUAAUGGGUAAAGAAGCACCGGCUAACUACGUG